CCUACGGGAGGCAGCAGUGGGGAAUCUUGCGCAAUGGGCGAAAGCCUGACGCAGCCAUGCCGCGUGUAUGAUGAAGGUCUUAGGAUUGUAAAAUACUUUCACCGGUGAAGAUAAUGACUGUAGCCGGAGAAGAAGCCCCGGCUAACUUCGUGCCAGCAGCCGCGGUAAUACGAAGGGGGCUAGCGUUGCUCGGAAUUACUGGGCGUAAAGGGAGCGUAGGCGGACAUUUAAGUCAGAGGUGAAAUCCCGGAGCUUAACUUCGGAACUGCCUUUGAUACUGGGUGUCUUGAGUGUGAGAGAGGUAUGUGGAACUCCGAGUGUAGAGGUGAAAUUCGUAGAUAUUCGGAAGAACACCAGUGGCGAAGGCGACAUACUGGCUCAUUACUGACGCUGAGGCUCGAAAGCGUGGGGAGCAAACAGGAUUAGAUACCCUGGUAGUCCACGCCGUAAACGAUGAUUGCUAGUUGUCGGGAAGCUUGCUUCUCGGUGACGCNGCUACGCAUAGACAUCCGCCGUGGGAGGUACGGUCGCGAGAUUAAACUACAAAGAAGUUAGUAGGCGUGAGACGUGCCGACGGACGACGACGAGGGAGGUUAGG
rnacentral:rRNA from 1 species